rnacentral:rRNA from 1 species
ACUACGGGAGGCAGCAGUAGGGAAUUUUCGGCAAUGGGGGGAACCCUGACCGAGCAACGCCGCGUGAACGAAGAAGUUAUUCGUAAUGUCAAGUUCUUUUACCAGGGAAGAAAGAGAAAUUUGACGGUACCUGCAGAAUAAGCUCCGGCUAACUACGUGCCAGCAGCCGCGGUAAUACGUAGGGAGCGAGCGUUAUCCGGAAUUAUUGGGCGAAAAGGGUGCGUAGAUGGCACAGUAAGUCUUUUGUAAAAAGGCUGGGCUAAACCCAGUAGGGCAAAAGAUACUGCAAAGCUAGAGUAUGACAGAGGCAAGUGGAACUACAUGUGGAGCGGUAAAAUGCGUAAAUAGAUGGAAGAACACCAGUGGCGAAGGCGGCUUGCUGGGUUGAUACUGACAUUGAGGCACGAAAGCGUGGGGAGCAAACAGGAUUAGAUACCCUUGUAGUC